AUUUUCAGCCUUUUUUUUUUUUUUCUUGGUUCCUCUGUGAUUCCGCUAUUCUUCAUGUUAAAACUCUAUUGCUCAGAAAGGGACUUCCUGAACUUGAGAAAUGCUUCCCAUUUGAACAGGGAGGUUUCCUCCAUUUUAUUUUCAUUGAAGGUCUAAUGCUUGGGACUCUCUCUCUCUGUCAGAUGCCUCUACCCAAGAAGGUGAAAGGAGCAGAGUCUAGAGGACAAGAAUAUGCCCAAGUCGUCGUCAGAGAAUCACAUCAUGCAUGGGGGCGGGGCUGGACAGAGGACAAGACUCAAGAGGUCUUCCGGGGAAGGAUGUGCCCCGCAAGCUGCAGAGUGUGAUUGAGAUCACACAAUUGCCAGAAAGCCCACGUCCUAGCAUGAUGACCUGCAGAGGUGAGUCCUGGGGACUGAGAACACUAAUGAGUUACAGGAAAGAAGCAGACUGGCUGGAGAGACCUCUCAGAGACGCGUUACCUUGGAGUAAG